GACGAACGCUGGCGGCGUGCUUAACACAUGCAAGUCGAACGAAGUGGCGAACGGGUGAGUAACGCGUAAUCAACCUGCCCUUCAGAGGGGGACAACAGUUGGAAACGACUGCUAAUACCGCAUACUGAAGGAGGGGAUUGCGUCUGAUUAGCUAGUUGGAGGGGGAACGGCCAACCAAGGCGAUGAUCAGUAGCCGGUCUUGGAGGGUGAACGGCCACAUUGGGACUGAGGCACGGCCCAGACUCCUACGGGAGGCAGCAGUGGGGAAUCUUCCGAAAUGGACGAAAGUCUGACGGAGCAACGCCGCGUGAUUGAUGACGGCCUUCGGGUUGUAAAGCUCUGUUAAGCGGGACGCGGUACCGGAAUAGAAAGCCACGGCUAACUACGUGCCAGCCGCCGCGGUAAUAC
rnacentral:rRNA from 1 species